CCUACGGGUGGCAGCAGUGAGGAAUAUUGGUCAAUGGGCGAGAGCCUGAACCAGCCAAGUCGCGUGAGGGAGUACUGCCCUAUGGGUUGUAAACCUCUUUUGUCGGGGAGCAAAAGCAGGACGUGUCCGGCUGUGAGAGUACCCGAAGAAAAAGCAUCGGCGAACCCCGUGCCAGCAGCCGCGGUAAUCCGGAGGAUGCGAGCGUUAUCCGGAUUUAUUGGGUUUAAAGGGUGCGCAGGCGGAUUUUUAAGUUAGCGGUAAAAUCGUGGGGCUCAACCCCAUCCAGCCGUUGAAACUGGGGAUCUAGAGUGGGCGAGAGGUAUGCGGAAUGCGUGGUGUAGCGGUGAAAUGCAUAGAUAUCACGCAGAACCCCGAUUGCGAAGGCAGCAUACCGGUGCACAACUGACGCUCAGGCACGAAAGCGUGGGUAUCGAACAGGAUUAGAUACCCGAGUAGUC
rnacentral:rRNA from 1 species